rnacentral:rRNA from 1 species
UACGUAGGUGUCAAGCGUUGUCCGGAUUUAUUGGGCGUAAAGCGCCCGCAGGCGGCUUGCCAAGUUCGAUGUGAAAUCUCCCGGCUCAACUGGGAGGGUGCAUCGAAAACUGACAGGCUUGAGGCAGGGAGAGGGAUGUGGAAUUCCAGGUGUAGCGGUGAAAUGCGUAGAUAUCUGGAGGAACACCGGUGGCGAAGGCGGCAUCCUGGACCGGUAUUGACGCUGAUGCGCGAAAGCCAGGGGAGCAAACGGG